GUGCUCGUUUCAGAAGAACAUACACUAAAAUUGGGAUAAUACCGAGAAGACUAGCAUGGCCUCUGUGCAAGGAUGACAAGACUUUCAUAACCUGUUCCAUACUUUU
rnacentral:snRNA from 1 species